CUAGCCCUCUCCAUCUUCAUUAAGAUGUUGUUUGGCAGUAGGAGACACAGUAUUGCAGAAACCUAAAUUUUAGCAAAGCAAGGUCUUUAAUGUUUGUGAAUAUGGGAAAUAGCAAGCUUUGAUAUUAAACAACAACAACAAAAAAACAAAACGCUGAUUGAGAUCUAGCCAAGCCUUUUCCCAGGUUUGAAGCUCAACUCUGGGACCGUAAUUCUGAUUAUCCUUUCAGGAGGGGAGACUUCAAGGGAUUUUACUCUGACAUCUUCUGGACUUCUAUUUGUUGCACGUCUGAAUGUCUGAUGCCAAGUCUUUGUGGUCUACCAGCAAACCUUGGAUUAAAUGAGUGGCAAGCUAAAUGGCUAUACAACAAUUCAUAGGAAGUGGCUUGAAAUCUUGAGAUCUUCAGGAAGAGUGGAUUAUCUGUGACUAAAUGCUUCAGGUCAGGCUCCACAGUCUGUCUUUUAGCCAAAUAUUUUGGCAGGGAGAUUCUUCUAGCAUUGUUUUCAAGUGUCUACAGAAGCCUUAAGAAUGGCUGGCAAGAGCUGUCUGGAGGGUAGCAUCUUCUGUAAUCGCCUAAGUUAAACAAAGUAUUUCUUUAAUGAUGUCUACAGAAGAAUGAGAAUUCUUGGCAUGGCUUAUUCAUGAUAGACUGCUCUGUACCAGCCCAUGAAGUGGACUGCGGCAUUCAUUUCAAUAUAAUCCAAAACUAGAUAUAAA
rnacentral:lncRNA from 1 species